UACGUAGGUGGCAAGCGUUGUCCGGAUUUACUGGGCGUAAAGGGCGCGCAGGCGGUCGAUCAAGUCGCGUGUGAAAGCCCCCGGCUCAACUGGGGAGGGUCACGCGAUACUGAUCGACUCGAAGGCAGGAGAGGGUAGUGGAAUUCCCGGUGUAGUGGUGAAAUGCGUAGAUAUCGGGAGGAACACCAGUGGCGAAGGCGACUACCUGGCCUGUUCUUGACGCUGAGGCGCGAAAGCUAGGGGAGCAAACGGG
rnacentral:rRNA from 1 species